CACACUCUCACCCACUCACUCUCCAGCUCCUAUAUGCCCGUUCCAUCACAUAGUCUAUGAACAGUAACCAAUAACAAUCCAAGCCAGUGAUGCACAGAGAUGCUUUUAAUUUCAUGCAAUAUACACCAGAUUGCCAGAGAGGGGCCCCUUCUGUGCAGAGAAAGGUGCAAACUUUUUUCGUUUGUCUGGAGGAAAUGGUGCCAUAUUUUAAAGCUGUACAAAAAGGGAUGUUUUGUCUUCAGUUCAGAGAAAUCCAGUGCUCCAGUUCUCCUUGU